rnacentral:rRNA from 1 species
AACGAACGCUGGCGGCAGGCUUAACACAUGCAAGUCGAACGAGUGGCGGACGGGUGAGUAAUGCCUGGGAAACUGGCCAAUGGGGGGGGAUAACUACUGGAAACGGUAUCUAAUACCGACAACCAUAGGAUUUGCCCAGAUGGGAUUAGGUAGUUGGUGGGGUAACGGCUCACCUAGGCGACGAUCCCUAGCUGGUCUGAGAGGAUGACCAGCCACACUGGGACUGAGACACGGUCCAGACUCCUACGGGAGGCAGCAGUGGGGAAUAUUGCACAAUGGGCGCAAGCCUGAUGCAGCCAUGCCGCGUGUAUGAAGAAGGCCUUCGGGUUGUAAAGUACUUUCGUCAGGGAGGCGUUACCUGAAGAAGAAGCACCGGCUAACUCCGUGCCAGCAGCCGCGGUAAUUC